rnacentral:rRNA from 1 species
GAACGCUGGCGGCGUGCUUAACACAUGCAAGUCGAACGAGAAGUGAAGACGGAAACCUUCGGGCGGAAGGCUUUAUUUCGAGUGGCGGACGGGUGAGUAACGCGUGGGUAACCUGCCUCAUACAGGGGGAUAACAGUUGGAAACGACUGUUAAUACCGCAUAAGACCACAGCACCGCAUGGUGCGGGGGUAAAAACUCCGGUGGUAUGAGAUGGACCCGCGUUCGAUUAGCCAGUUGGCGGGGUAACGGCCCACCAAAGCGACGAUCGAUAGCCGAUCUGAGAGGAUGACCGGCCACAUUGGGACUGAGACACGGCCCAAACUCCUACGGGAGGCAGCAGUGGGGAAUAUUGCACAAUGGGGGAAACCCUGAUGCAGCGACGCCGCGUGAGUGAAGAAGUAUUUCGGUAUGUAAAGCUCUAUCAGCAGGGAAGAAAAUGACGGUACCUGAGGAAGAAGCCCCGGCUAACUACGUG